GCUGGAAGGGUGGUUUGAGUUUUGUACUUGACAAAACAGUUGGAGGUGUGGAAGUCCUUCCCAGUGUAUGAACAGGCGCUGACAAGAGAGGUGGCAGCCUCUUUGCUGCAGGAGCUCCUCAUAACACAGACGGCAGACAGCAGAAGCAGAUAGCAGGGCCGUACAGAACAAGGCUGGCCACAAGGCCUGCUCACACACACAGUGACACGGAAAUACUUGUCGCACCCACUGCAACACACUCUGACUGUCUUGUGCUUACUGCAGUAUACAGUCUAAUAUUUAAACUUCUCAUGUUUCAGGUUCCUCUGGUGGACCUGUAUCGUCCUGGAUCGCAAGUCUGAUGAACGGGUAGCGAAGAACGAAGAUUGGUCUGGGCCACCUGCUGCACCACCACCACCACCACCACCAGCAGCAGGAGCAGCAGAGGAGGGUGCUGCAAGAGAGAUGUCCGUGGACAGCCUGAGCCUUGUCGCUGUGCACUCAGGCAUGUCAGAUAUACAGGAAUUUGUUUUGCCCCAUGCGGAGCCAGCAUUCUGCUCGCUAGAGGUUGAGCAUGAGAAGUAGACUGUCUUCUCAAGCAUGGUAGCCAGGAGUGUGCCAAUUUUGGCCCCAAGGAACACCUGUUCUGCACACUCCACAAUACGGCCCUCAGGGCCAGCACUACUCAGACCUGUAGGCUGGGAAGAAGCUGGAUUUAGUCCAGAGCAGA